rnacentral:rRNA from 1 species
AGUGAACGCUGGCGGUAGGCCUAACACAUGCGAGUCGAACGGCAGCACAGUAAGAGCUUGCUCUUACGGGUGGCGAGUGGCGGACGGGUGAGGAAUACAUCGGAAUCUACUUUUUCGUGGGGGAUAACGUAGGGAAACUUACGCUAAUACCGCAUACGACCUACGGGUGAAAGCAGGGGAUCUUCGGACCUUGCGCGAUUGAAUGAGCCGAUGUCGGAUUAGCUAGUUGGCGGGGUAAAGGCCCACCAAGGCGACGAUCCGUAGCUGGUCUGAGAGGAUGAUCAGCCACACUGGAACUGAGACACGGUCCAGACUCCUACGGGAGGCAGCAGAGGGGAAUAUUGGACAAUGGGCGCAAGCCUGAUCCAGCCAUACCGCGUGGGUGAAGAAGGCCUUCGGGUUGUAAAGCCCUUUUGUUGGGAAAGAAAAGCAGCAGGUUAAUACCCCGCUGUUCUGACGGUACCCAAAGAAUAAGCACCGGCUAACUUCGUG